GGCUCUGUAGUGAAAUUCAUGUUGAGUUGCAAGCUCAUCGAUGUACAUUAUGAGUGUACCAGGGCCU
rnacentral:tRNA from 1 species